UUACGGGAGGCAGCAGUGAGGAAUUUUGCGCAAUGGGGGAAACCCUGACGCAGCAACGCCGCGUGAGUGAUGAAGGCCUUCGGGUCGUAAAGCUCUGUCAAGUGGGAAGAACCUGUCACGUGAUAAUACCACGGGGCACUGACGGUACCACUGAAGGAAGCACCGGCUAACUCCGUGCCAGCAGCCGCGGUAAUACGGGGGGUGCUAGCGUUAUUCGGAAUCAUUGGGCGUAAAGGGCGCGUAGGCGGUCUCUUAAGUCAGAUGUGAAAGCCCUCGGCUUAACCGAGGAAGUGCAUUUGAUACUAAGUGACUUGAGUAUGGGAGAGGGAAGCGGAAUUCCUGGUGUAGCGGUGAAAUGCGUAGAUAUCAGGAGGAACACCGGUGGCGAAGGCGGCUUCCUGGACCAAUACUGACGCUGAGGCGCGAAGGCGUGGGGAGCAAACAGGAUUAGAUACCCCGGUAGUC
rnacentral:rRNA from 1 species